rnacentral:rRNA from 1 species
GUAGGGAAUAUUGGGCAAUGGUCGGAAGACUGACCCAGCCAUGCCGCGUGCAGGAAGAAGGCGCUACGCGUUGUAAACUGCUUUUAACCGGGAAGAAACCCCAGGACGUGUCCUGGGUUGACGGUACCGGAGGAAUAAGCACCGGCUAACUUCGUGCCAGCAGCCGCGGUAAUACGAAGGGUGCAAGCGUUAUCCGGAUUCAUUGGGGUUAAAGGGUGCGUAGGCGGAGCGUUGAGUCAGUGGUGAAAUCCUGCAGCUUAACUGUAGACUUGCCAUUGAUACUGGCGCUCUUGAGUGCGCUUGAAGUGGGCGGAAUGUGCCGUGUAGCGGUGAAAUGCUUAGAUAUGGCACAGAACACCAAUUGCGAAGGCAGCUCACUAAGGCGAUACUGACGCUGAGGCACGAAAGCGUGGGGAUCGAACAGGAUUAGAAACCCGAGUAGUCC